rnacentral:rRNA from 1 species
UACGUAGGUGGCAAGCGUUAUCCGGAAUUACUGGGUGUAAAGGGAGCGCAGGCGGGGGCCCAAGUUGGAUGUGAAAUACCGCAGCUUAACUGCGGGGCUGCAUCCAAAACUGGGACUCUUGAGUGAAGUAGAGGUAGGCGGAAUUCCUAGUGUAGCGGUGAAAUGCGUAGAUAUUAGGAGGAACACCAGUGGCGAAGGCGGCCUACUGGGCUUUUACUGACGCUGAGGCUCGAAAGCAUGGGGAGCAAACAGGAUUAGAUACCCUGGUAGUCCAUGCUGUAAACGAUGAUUACUAGGUGUGGGGGGACUGACCCCUUCCGUGCCGGAGUUAACACAAUAAGUAAUCCACCUGGGGAGUACGGCCGCAAGGUUGAA